rnacentral:rRNA from 1 species
GAUGAACGCCGGCGGUGUGCCUAAUACAUGCAAGUCGAGGGGCAGCAUUUUUAGUUUUGCUUGCAAACUAAAGAUGGCGACCGGCGCACGGGUGAGUAACACGUAUCCAACCUGCCGAUAACUCGGGGAUAGCCUUUCGAAAGAAAGAUUAAUAUCCGAUAGUAUAUUAAAACCGCAUGGUUUUUACUAUUAAAGAAUUUCGGUUAUCGAUGGGGAUGCGUUCCAUUAGUUUGUUGGCGGGUAACGGCCCACCAAGACUACGAUGGAUGGGGGUUCUGAGAGGAAGGUCCCCCACAUUGGAACUGAGACACGGUCCAAACUCCUACGGGAGGCAGCAGUGAGGAAUAUUGGUCAAUGGACGAGAGUCUGAACCAGCCAAGUAGCGUGAAGGAUGACUGCCCUAUGGGUUGUAAAACUUCUUUUUAAUAAUGGGAAUAAAGUAUUCCACGUGUGGGAUUUUGUAUGUACCGUAUGAAUAAGGAUCGGCUAACUCCGUGACAGCCGCCGCAGU